UUAAAGUUAUUUAAGACCAUCCAAACAGGGUUCUGUUUCAGUUGUCCAAAGAGAGAUACAAUCAUCUCCAAUCGCUUGGCUUGGCUACUGAAUAUUUGUUUUCUGAAGAAGCUGUAAAUUGUAAUCUUCUCCUUCAUUCAGUUUCAACGAAGACUACGACCCCUUUGGACGUUGGCUUGGCUGCGUUAAACAACAACAAACAAGAAGAAUGGGUCAUUUGCUGAUAUCUCAUUUCAGGUGUUAGGGAUCUUGCCGCCACGUUUAAUCCUCCCAACGGAUAGUUAAUUUUUUAAAAUUUGAAAAUGCAUUGAGCAGCUCUUCCCAACGGCUAGUUUGAUGACAACGGUCAAAUUUUUAAGUCUAGUAUAAUAGAUCACUGUAGCUCUUUCUCCAAAAAUAUAUGGGAUGGGUCGGUGUGGUUUUCUUUUGCUGUGGAGAUUUUCCUUCCUGUCAUGUUAAUUUCCCUUCUCUUCCUUCCAUCAUUGCUGUAAGUAAUUUUUCUCUCUUUUGUUUUUGUUAAUUUUCCUUUCGUUUCCGUCGACUUCAACAUCAUCUUUGUUUGGGAUAUUUGACUGAAAAUGGUACGAGAAUAAAACAGAAGGAAGAAAUUGAGCUUUCUGAGAGGAAAGGAGGAGAUGGAGAGUGGGUCUGAAGGUGAACUGUUUGAAGAAAUGUCUGUGUGAACAAACAGUUUCCUAUGAAGGAACUCUACGGAAUCAUAAUUCUGUUUGCCUUUUUUCUCUGCUUUCACAUACAUACCGAACUGAUUGGUUGCUGAUAUACCCAUCAAAUUUAACAUGGUUUUUCUUUUUGUAUAUUCCACACCUGGAACAGAUGUCAAGGAAAGGCUGAAACUCAGCCAAGAAUUGGGUCUCAAAUUACGGCAUGUCAAGUUCUUGUUCCAAAACCCAGAUGAAGGCCGGAGAUGCUUUUGCACAGUUGUAUCAUAAUUUCAUCAUUGACUUUGAGACAAAAAUCAACUGUCUAAAGGUUGCCUGCUUAAUUUGAUUGUGUUGUAUUAUCACUAGGAUAAUUGUUGAUAAUAAAAUAUAUAGAUUUGUUGGAAUUGAGAGGAAGAAGACUGCUGGGAUUGCCAGGUCUCUGCCUCUCUCUGCUGUGGGUGUGGUGUGUUGUGUGUGUUCCCCUCUCUCUCUCACUUUCCCUUUUUCCCUCCCCAUUGCUCUCUACUUUUUCUUUUCUCUUUCUCUAUAACUUCUCCCUCUUGACUUUUUUUCUUUUUUUUUUUUCCCUUUCCUUAAUCUCUUUGCUUUCUCUUGCAUUUAUCUCUUUUACUUUCUCUCUUUAAUUUUUUUUGUUCCACUUUUCUCUGCCUAUUUACUUCUACUGUUUCUGUUUAGUUUUCCCUCUUUGCUUUCUUAUGCUUUUUAUCUUUUCAUUUUCUUCUUAUUACAUUUCUUUUCUAGUUUUUCAAAUUAGUUUCUCUUUGCAUUUUUUAGUUGCCACUCUUAUUGACCUUACUGUUAUGUGGUAAAAUGGGUUGUUCCAUGGGCUAUCAAUUUUACAUUUUAUGAAAUUCCAUUUAUGUCCUUAAAAUUAAAAUACAAAAACAAAAAGAAAGAAGAAAACAAAUAAAAGGCUAUGUCGUUUUAUUCCUUCUUAAAAUAUAUAACUUUUUGUUGGAAUAGAUACUUCAAAAAGAAAAUAAAAAAAGGCAACUGAUUUUUUUAUUGAAAAGCAAAAACAAAAACGAUCUUUCUAAUAGACAGUUCUAUUCCUACCAAUUUUACUUUUUUUUUUUUUUAAAAAAAAAAAUAUACAUUCUUUUAAAAAUAUAUAUAUAUAUAUAUAUAUUUUAAAGUUAGCCUCUUUCUUUUUUUAAUUUAUGGAAUAGAAACAAAAACACAAUAUUUUCUUAGAAAAAAGUACCUAAUUAUAUAUGUAGAAAAACGCAACUAAAAUAUAUCAAAAAAUAUUACUGAUUUUUAACAACAAUGUAUUUGGUUUGAAAAAAGAAGUUACAAGUAAUUUUGUAUUUUGUUUUCUAGAAAAAAAGGAUAUUAUGUUGUUAUUUUAAAUAAUGAUACAAAAGUUUUAUAUUUUACCAAAAAUUCUAUGAUAACUUGUAAAAGGAAAAAAGAAAAUAAAAAUUACCUUUAAAUAAUUCACCUUUAGAAUUUAAUUUAUUGGAUAUAUAAACUUUUCAAACAAGUAAAUUAUGACUGAAAUUUUAAACUUGCAAAAUUUUAUCCAUUUUCUAGCUAACUAAUUUGCUACUUAAUUUAGGACAUAAAAAAACAUAAAUUGGAAUUUCAUAAAAUUUGAUAUUGAUGGAUAGAGGAACAAACUGUUUUUAUCUAUGACAAUGGUGUCAAAAGGAGGGUAAGUAGAAUUUUCCAAUUAGGGAGAUUAAAGAGAGAAAUUAGUAGGAGAGUGUAGUAUAGAGAGUGAAGAGAGAGAAGAGAGUGGAUAGAAAGUGGAGGGAGAGAAGUUAAGGAAAAUAAAGUAGAUAAAGAGAAUAGGGAAAAGUGAGAAAGAAAAAUCAAGGAGAGAAAAUAGGGAGUGGAUGUGUAGAGAAGAUAGGGGAGACGGAAGUGGAAGAAGUAGAUUGGAAUAGAGAGGGGGGUUGGUAGAAAGUGGGGGGAUAGGUUGAAGAGAAUGUCGGGGAGGGGGGAGGAGCAGGGAAAAGUAGAGAGAAUUAUGGGGGAUAAGAAGAUAAGAGUAAACAAGGGAGAGAGAUUUUAUUUUAUUAUUAUUAUUUUUAAUUAUAACAAGAAUUCAUCUUUAAUAUUGUGAUAUCUUUGGUAUAUUUUUGACAUUAUUUAUUUAUUUUUUUUAUUUCCAUUUUAUUUUAGUACCAAGUUACUUUAUCUUCAUUUCACUCUCAAUCUUUAUUUUCAUGUCAGUUAAGUUAGGAAAGGAAGAAAAAAGAAAAGAAAAGAAAAAAAAAAAAAAAAGAGCCACAUUCAACAAAAUGUUUAUUUUAUUUUAUUUUAUCUAUUUAUUUAUUUAUUUUGUGUAGGAUUAUUGACCCAGAAUGGCUAACAUUGGCAUAAAUUGAAAACUAAGCAAUUAUUUGAAGUAGCUGUAUCACUUUUGAAUGUUUUAUGAAAAUAUAGUGUUCCUCUGUAUGUGAAGAAGUAGAAUUGGCCGUUUGGAUGGUGUUAAAAGCAAAAGAAAAAUGCAAAAACCAAGGGAACUACUGCUUUCAGAUUUUAUAAAUUUUCUACUCUUUUGCACAAUAAUUUAGAACAACUAGCUGGAACAUUCCACAACAAUAAAGCUUUAAGAAAAACUAAAAAUUAAUUUUCCUCUGGUAGUACUACUUGGAAUCGAUAAUAUUCUGCACUAAAAAAUAUGCUACAAUUUAAAUCUAGCAGCAAUGACUUUGGUCAAGUAGUGACCAAAAUUUUGCAUCAGGUGCUUCGUUUGCCUUAUGAGCUCAGUCUUAUACACUUUGAACUCUAUGUAAACAUAGAGAAAUGCCCUAAAUUGAACUUAUAUUGUCUUCAGUCAAUUAAAGAUUUAAAAAUAUGGGGAUCCAGUGAGACACUUAAAUUCAGUUUAAAAUCUCCAUACCCUGGCAUAAUGAUUUGGCCUCCUUUCCUAUUAGGGUGCUAGAAAGUCUCACCUUUCUCCGAUCACUUAAGAUUACAAGAUUCAGCAAUCAUUAUGAUUUUCCAUCAGACAUGCUAAUUGCGCUAAGCACUUUGGAACUGUUAUCUAUCACUUCUUGCCAUAUGCUUGAGUAUUUUCUAAUGGAAAUAUUUCGAGGCUCAAAUAGCCUUAAAAGUAUCAAGUACAGUGAAGAUUGUAUCAUGUUCAACAGUUUGUCUGAAAGUUUCCGAGCAAUUACUGCUCUUGAAGUUUUGGAACUUCAUGGUUGUCCAGAGUUGGAGGCUUUCCCAAAUGGUCUUAACAAUCUUUCUUACCUUUGACAUCCGAUGCUGUCUUGUUCAGAAAAUCUCAGUGUUCCUCAUCCUAAGUUACAAAGUUGCCUGAGGCCUUACACAGCAUCUCCCGUCCCUCCAAUAUAUGAAUAUAUCUGGCCUUCCAAAUCUUGAUUUGUUGCCUGACUGACUUGGGAACUUAUCAUCUUUUGAAUCAUUUUCUAUUUCAAGAAGUCCCAAGUUGGCAUAUCUUCCAUUAAGUAUCCAACACCUCUCCAACUUAAAUGUUUUGGCAAUUUUAUAUUUUCCAAAGCUAGUGGAGCCAUGUGAAUAGGAAAUCAGAGAGGACUGGAUAGCUCAAAUUCCACAUGUUCAUGUGCAGAAUUCAAGAGCCUAACUGGAACAAGAGAGUGCAAAUUGUUGCUUCAAGUUCAGGCAGAGGAUGGUUAGCACAGGCUUGCUGAGAGUUUUAAAACCUUUAUCACAGGCAAAGAUCCAGUCAACAAUGCAAAACACUUUGAUGCAGACACCAGUUUUCAUCAGCCUCAGCCAAAGUUUCUUCUUUUGACAGAAAAAGAAUUGGGUUUGAUCAGGACAUAAGUGAUAAUACUUCCUUGGUCAUGACAAAGUUCGCGAAGCGGAUGUUUUGGAAAAAACUGAAGUCAGGAUAGUAGUAGUUCUGGUUCUGCCAUAAAGAAGCAUGUUUUUACAGGUUGCAAAAGAGGCUGAAGAAGUUGGCUACCAGACAGAGGAGAAAGUUGGAAUCGUUGAAGAGGAACAAAACUGGAAAAUGGUAGAUGUCUGUGCAAAUCUUCUAGAGCGUUGGCACCAGUUGCCCAAAGGUUUCAUCCUAUGAUAUUGACUUGUACUGUAUGUACGUUUUAAAAUUUCUAUUCAGUUCUAAUUUUACAACUUGCUUUAUUCUUGUAGACUAUAAGAGUGGAAGUUUUGAAACAUUUUUCCUCAGAGUUCUAAAAAACCGAACAAAUUAUUCUUUUUAACACCAAACUAUGGUGAAACUCUGUAUGCCUCUCAACGU